GACGUAGGGCGCGAGCGUUGUCCGGAUUUAUUGGGCGUAAAGAGCUCGUAGGCGGCUCGUUGCGUCGGCUGUGAAAACCCGCAGCUCAACUGUGGGCUUGCAGCUGAUACGGGCGGGCUGGGAUUCGGUAGGGGAGACUGGAAUUCCUGGUGUAGCGGUGAAAUGCGCAGAUAUCAGGAGGAACACCGGUGGCGAAGGCGGAUCUCUGGGCCAUUACUGACGCUGAGGAGCGAAAGCGUGGGGAGCGAACAGG
rnacentral:rRNA from 1 species